UUUCCGUAGGUGAACCUGCGGAAGGAUCAUUAACGAGUUAGGGUCUUCUAGGCCCGACCUCCCAACCCUUUGUUUACUGAACCAUUGUUGCCUCGGUGGGUCUGUCUUACGACCGCCGGGGGAUCGCCGCGAGGCGCCCCCUGGCCAGCGCCCACCGAUAGCCCAACCUUUAAAACCCUUUGUGAAUCGUGUCUUAUGUCUAAAUUUAUGAUUAAACAAUCAAAAAAAAACUUUCAACAACGGAUCUCUUGGUUCCG
rnacentral:misc_RNA from 1 species